rnacentral:rRNA from 1 species
AGUGGGGAAUAUUGCACAAUGGGGGAAACCCUGAUGCAGCCAUGCCGCGUGUGUGAAGAAGGCCUUCGGGUUGUAAAGCACUUUCAGUAGGGAGGAAGGUAGUGUAGUUAACACCUGCACUAUUUGACGUUACCUACAGAAGAAGCACCGGCUAACUCCGUGCCAGCAGCCGCGGUUAAUACGGAGGGUGCGAGCGUUAAUCGGAAUUACUGGGCGUAAAGCGCAUGCAGGCGGCCUGUUAAGUCAGAUGUGAAAGCCCCGGGGCUUAACCUCGGAAUUGCAUUUGAAACUGGCAGGCUAGAGUCUUGUAGAGGGGGUAGAAUUUCAGGUGUAGCGGUGAAAUGCGUAGAGAUCUGAAGGAAUACCAGUGGCGAAGGCGGCCCCCUGGACAAAGACUGACGCUCAGAUGCGAAAGCGUGGGGAGCCAAACAGGAUUAGAUACCCUGGUAG